GAGAAAGACAUAGUGGUUAUGGGAUUGGCUUGAAACCAGUUUUAGGGGGUUCGAAUCCUUCCUUUCUUA
rnacentral:tRNA from 2 species